rnacentral:rRNA from 1 species
UACCUGAUUCAGCGGCGGACGGGUGAGUAAUGCCUAGGAAUCUGCCCGAUAGUGGGGGACAACGUUUCGAAAGGAACGCUAAUACCGCAUACGUCCUACGGGAGAAAGUGGGGGAUCUUCGGACCUCACGCUAUCGGAUGAGCCUAGGUCGGAUUAGCUAGUUGGUGAGGUAAUGGCUCACCAAGGCGACGAUCCGUAACUGGUCUGAGAGGAUGAUCAGUCACACUGAAACUGAGACACGGUCCAGACUCCUACGGGAGGCAGCAGUGGGGAAUAUUGGACAAUGGGCGAAAGCCUGAUCCAGCCAUGCCGCGUGUGUGAAGAAGGUCUUCGGAUUGUAAAGCACUUUAAGUUGGGAGGAAGGGCAGUAAGCUAAUACCUUGCUGUUUUGACGUUACCAACAGAAUAAGCACCGGCUAACUCUGUGCCAGCAGCCGCGGUAAUACAGAGGGUGCAAGCGUUAAUCGGAAUUACUGGGCGUAAAGCGCGCGUAGGUGGUUCAGCAAGUUGGAUGUGAAAUCCCCGGGCUCAACCUGGGAACUGCAUCCAAAACUACUGAGCUAGAGUACGGUAGAGGGUGGUGGAAUUUCCUGUGUAGCG